rfam:Myotis lucifugus cont2.13301, whole genome shotgun sequence.
GAAACACCCCUUCGGGGCAAGACUUGCUUCAGUAGGGCUUUGGUGCUCACUGAGUCUGCCCCCUGAGUGUGUCCUU